UACGGAGGAUGCAAGCGUUAUCCGGAAUGAUUGGGCGUAAAGAGUCCGUAGGUGGCUCGUCAAGUCGAUUGUCAAAGAGCGAGGCUUAACUUCGCUAAGGCCGUCGAAACUGAGGAGCUUGAGAGCAGUAGGGGCAGAAGGAAUUCCUGGUGUAGCGGUGAAAUGCGUAGAGAUCAGGAAGAACACCGGUGGCGAAAGCGUUCUGCUGGGCUGCGACUGACACUGAGGGACGAAAGCUAGGGGAGCGAAUGGG
rnacentral:rRNA from 1 species